rnacentral:lncRNA from 1 species
AUGCUUCCAGGUAAACAGCUCCGCACUGUGACACGCAGCGUGCACACACACAGCCGACGCGGGCUCGGAUGCAAUGGAUCGCCGGGGUAUGGAAACGGCCGCUGCGGGCGCCCCAAACUCCUGCGCGUCGUCCCCGCCCCCCACCCCGGCCCAGAGCGGGCGGCCAGGACCCCGAGCGCUGCCCGCUCGCAGGGAGCCACCCAGCCGGUGCCACCCAGACGCGCAAGGACACUCUGCGGAUCGCGCACUUCUUCAGCCGGGGACCCGGGCGGCGGCGCCCUGCACCCCCGGGGGUCCCCGCCGGGGUCUGCCGCAGCCGCACGGACGGCGCGCCCUCACCUGCUGGUGGCUCCUCGGCGGGCGGCCCGACCCCUGCGCCGCCGUCCGCGCGUCCUUCCGCCGGCCCGCGGCCCCUGUGUGCCCGGCCGCUCCGUGUCCCCGCGGCCCAGCCUCGGCGGGGGGAGCGCGGGGCUGGCGGCGCUCUGUCCCCGCUCCUGCGCUCCCUCCGCAGCGCCAGGCCGGCCGCGCGGCUGCAGCCUGAGCCUGACUCACGGGCGCCGGCGGGCGCAGCCACCUCCCCGCCUCCUCCGCCCGCAGGGUGGGGGCCCUGGCGCCGGCCGGAAGCCCGACCCGGGGGCUGCAGGGCCGGCGGGGCCGCGCGGGGCUGGGGCCUCCCCCACUGCCACCCCCAGUCGCCCGGCGGAGCCGCCCGCCUCCCUGGGCCUCCCUCUUGCUGAGCCCCCAGCCCCUGUGGCCUCUGCCUCUCCAGGAGGGGGCAUCUCCAUCCUCCUGCUGGCCUCCCCUCCUCACAUCUCAGUCCUGCCUUGGCGGAGCCCCCACCCUCCCCAGAGCCCGGGUACCCCAGCCGGUGCCCCUCCCAGCACAUCCCCACAGCUAUCCCGACCCCACCUGCUCCCCUUCGCGCAUACCCCUAUCCCCAACCAAGCCCCUUCCAGCUCCCCAACUGUAGCACCUCUGUACAGUCCUGCCCUUCCCUGUGGCCCCAGCUGUGGGUCCACGGAGUCCAGGCCUUCCCUGAGCCUUGGUGGCCCUCGCAUGGCCCUGUCCUUUCUGACCCCACCCCCGUGGAAGCUCCUGACCCCCUCUCCCCAGAUCUGA